GCAUUGGUGGCCCAGUGGUAGAGCUCUUGCCUGCCACGCCGGCGGCCCGGGUUCGUAUCCCGACCAAUGCC
rnacentral:tRNA from 1 species